CUGCCUGCCCGGUGACACACGUUUAACGGCCGCGGUACCCUGACCGUGCAAAGGUAGCAUAAUCACUUGUUCUUUAAAUAGGGACUUGCAUGAAUGGCAUCACGAGGGUUUAACUGUCUCUUACUUUCAACCAGUGAAAUUGACCUAUCCGUGAAGAGGCGGAUGUAAUACAAUAAGACGAGAAGACCCUAUGGAGCUUUAAUUUAUUAAUGCAACCAAAAACUACGCAAACCCACAGGCCCCUAAACUACCAUACCUGCAUUAAAAAUUUUGGUUGGGGUGACCUCGGAGCACAACUAAACCUCCGAAUAAUUAAUGCUAAGACUAUACAAGUCAAAGCGGACUAACAUUUACAACUGAUCCAAUAACUUGAUCAACGGAACAAGUUACCCUAGGGAUAACAGCGCAAUUCUAUUCUAGAGUCCAUAUCGACAAUAGAGUUUACGACCUCGAUGUUGGAUCAGGACAUCCUAAUGGUGCAGCAGCUAUCAAG
rnacentral:rRNA from 1 species